rnacentral:rRNA from 1 species
CCCAGACUCCUACGGGAGGCAGCGGGAAUAUUGCACAAUGGGCGCAAGCCUGAUGCAGCCAUGCGGCGUGUAUGAAGAAGGCCUUCGGGUUGUAAAGUACUUUCAGCGGGGAGGAAGGCGAUAAGGUUAAUAACCUUGUCGAUUGACGUUACCCGCAGAAGAAGCACCGGCUAACUCCGUGCCAGCAGCCGCGGUAAUACGGAGGGUGCAAGCGUUAAUCGGAAUUACUGGGCGUAAAGCGCACGCAGGCGGUUUGUUAAGUCAGAUGUGAAAUCCCCGGGCUCAACCUGGGAACUGCAUCUGAUACUGGCAAGCUUGAGUCUCGUAGAGGGGGGUAGAAUUCCAGGUGUAGCGGUGAAAUGCGUAGAGAUCUGGAGGAAUACCGGUGGCGAAGGCGGCCCCCUGGACGAAGACUGACGCUCAGGUGCGAAAGCGUGGGGAGCAAACAGGAUUAGAUACCCCCGUAGUC